UACGGAGGGUGCAAGCGUUAUCCGGAUUCACUGGGUUUAAAGGGUGCGUAGGCGGGUAUAUAAGUCAGUGGUGAAAGCUCCGAGCUUAACUUGGAAACUGCCAUUGAUACUGUAUAUCUUGAAUAUCGUAGAGGUUAGCGGAAUGUUGCAUGUAGCGGUGAAAUGCUUAGAUAUGUUACAGAACACCAAUUGCGAAGGCAGCUAACUAUGCGAUAAUUGACGCUGAGGCACGAAAGCGUGGGGAGCAAACAGG
rnacentral:rRNA from 1 species